GUGCUCACUUAGGCAGCACGUAAACUAAAAGUGGAACGACACAGAGAAGAUCGGCAUGGCCCCUGUGGAAGGAUGACACACAAGUUCGUGAAGUGUUCCAUAUUUUU